rnacentral:rRNA from 1 species
GAUGAACGCUGGCGGCGUGCUUAACACAUGCAAGUCGAACGGAAAGGCCCUGCUUUUGUGGGGUGCUCGAGUGGCGAACGGGUGAGUAACACGUGAGUAACCUGCCCUUGACUUUGGGAUAACUUUAGGAAACUGGGGCUAAUACCGGAUAGGAGCUCCUGCUGCAUGGUGGGGGGUGGAAAGUUUCGGCGGUUGGGGAUGGGCUCGGGGCUUAUCAGCUUGUUGGGGGGGUAGUGGCUUACCAAGGCUUUGACGGGUAGCCGGCCUGAGAGGGUGACCGGCCACAUUGGGACUGAGAUACGGCCCAGACUCCUACGGGAGGCAGCAGUGGGGAAUAUUGCACAAUGGGCGGAAGCCUGAUGCAGCAACGCCGCGUGCGGGAUGACGGCCUUCGGGUUGUAAACCGCUUUCGCCUGUGACGAAGCGUGAGUGACGGUAAUGGGUAAAGAAGCACCGGCUAACUACGUG